GGGACAGUGCAGGAGGCAGGAAUCUGAAGUGCCUGAUGCUUGAGAAGAGUCAUCUUUGAGCUGGCCUGAUGCCCACCUGCUUUAUUCCAGAUGUGGCCAUGGAAAGUCCCUAAGGAAAGCAACCACAGGGAAGAAAGUCUUGCUGGCUUAAUACCUAAAAACAAAAGCAAAGUAA